rnacentral:ncRNA from 2 species
UGUAACAGCAACUCCAUGU